UGUUGGUGCUGGUGUUGGCGUCGGUGCUGGCGUCGGUGUUGGCGUCGGCGUCGGCGCAGGCGCAGGCGCAGGCGUUCCACCCGCCGCGCCGACAUCC
rnacentral:tRNA from 1 species